rnacentral:lncRNA from 1 species
UCCUGCCUCAGCCUCCGGAGUAGCUGGGACUACAGGCGCCCGCAACCACGCCCGGCUAAUUUUUCUAUUUUUAGUAGAGACAGGGUUUCACCGUGUUAGCCAGAAUGGUCUCGAUCUCCUGACCUUGUGAUUCACCCGCCUCGGCCUCCCAAAGUGCUGGGAUUACAGGCGUGAGCCACCGCGCCCGGCCCAGGGUUGGUUUCUUCUGAGGCCUCUCUCCUUGGCUUGCAGAUGGCUAUCUUCUCCAUGUCUUCAUGUGGUCUUCCCGUGUGGUGCGUCUGUGUCUAAACCUCUUCUUGUAAGGACACCAGUCAUACUGCUACCAAGGCAAGAUUUGGAAAAAAAAAAGAAAAGAAAAGAAAAAAAACUGCAAAUGAAAUAAACCUCUCAUCCUGAGUCCCCAUGAAAAGAACAACCACCCAGUGACCAGGAAUAUUCACUUCGACCAAAAAGAGGAAAGCCCACAAUUUAGGAAUGAAAUUGUUUUCUGGCUCUUAUCUUAGGGAAGAGGAAGAGAAAAAAGGAACUAUCUUUGACUUUAUCCAAUAAGAACUUGUGAAAGUUGUCAGAGUCAAAAUGGAGCCACUUGUGUUAAAGACUGUGCCAAGUGGCAUCGAGGAUGGCCGUGAACGGAGGGUUCUUAUGCACAAAUGCCUGACGGCAACGACUAUCACAAAAGACUCCGCAAAAACCACAACCUUGUGAAAGAAAGGCCCACCACAACCUUACUACACACAAAAAAACUUCUGCAAGGACAUCUGCACAGCAACUUCCUGUCUAACCUUGGACCGGCACCACCCUUGUUAUGGAUCCUUAUAGCUAACAAUAAUUAUCACAAAACAAUUUUAUAAUCUUCUUCAUUUUUCCUUUAAAAAUAUUUGUCUUCCUUUACCUACCUGAGCUGAGCAUGCAUGUAGUUUGCUAUGGUAUGUAUAUUGCUGUUACAAUGCCCAUUUUUGAAUAAAUAUCCUUUUCUUUCAGAGAGCCUCUCUCUGUUUUCUAAUGUGACAAACUCAAUUCUUAAGCUAAAGCUUAAGGAAGUAUUUUACAGCUUCCUCAAACAGUCAUCGGUUCUGUUAAAUAUUCUGACUUCCAGGUCCAGUGCAGACAUG